rnacentral:rRNA from 1 species
UACAGAGGGUGCAAGCGUUAAUCGGAAUUACUGGGCGUAAAGCGUGCGUAGACGGUCAUGUAAGACAGAUGUGAAAUGCCCGGGCUCAACCUGGGAACUGCAUUUGUGACUGCAUGGCUAGAGUUUGGCAGAGGGGGGUAGAAUUCCACGUGUAGCAGUGAAAUGCGUAGAUGUGUGGAGGAAUACCGAUGGCGAAGGCAGCCCCCUGGGUCCAAGACUGACGCUCAUGCACGAAAGCGUGGGGAGCAAACAGGAU